rnacentral:lncRNA from 1 species
AUGUAUAUUAGUUUAUUCUAGGUGUUUUGACUCUUGAGUUUAUACACUUAAUAUGUGUUUAACGAGUUUACUAGGAAGUUGUAUUGGUUGGAUACGGGGCAAUUUUGGAAGUGCUAUGCGGUAUGGGAGAGACUCAUCCUUGGAGGAUGACCCUUCACGUAGGCGCUACGUCAUAGUCCUUGGAUGAUGCCCAUCCGAGGAUGAAACAAUGGAAAUGGAGGAUAAGCCUACGCCCACCAACUUAUUUUUUUUUAAUUUUAUCUACUUUUUUAACAUUGGUUAUAGAAUGGACUCUUAACUAAUCUCAUAAACAUUUUUACACCCCUUAAAGCAUCGUUUCACAAAGCUUUGUUUUUCAUAAAAAUCCUCGCCGGACCUCCGUAUCUUCGCCGGAAUUUGUUUCUCUCGUCGGUGUUUGUUUCGCCGGAAUCACCGAGUCACGUCAUACGUGGUCACCGUUCUAGGGUUCGUUUGGGAUUUUGAUUUGAAGGAAGAUAAUAGGAGUUAUUUGCAACGUUCAAAAUUUUGUCUUGUAGUGCCGGUCUCAAUUGUCGAGAGGGCGACGAAUACGGCGACGGGGGGAAUGGUGUUUGGGUCGGCGCCGGGCCAGUCCGAGCCCCACACCGUAUAGCCUCAUAUUUUAAAGUGAGUUUGUUACCUUGGAUGUGUUUUAUUUCAUGACUAUAAGUAUGUUAAGGUGGGGGUUCGAUUAUACGAACAAUACCUUAUUUCAUC